UACGUAGGGUGCAAGCGUUGUCCGGAAUUAUUGGGCGUAAAGAGCGCGCAGGCGGUCGUUCAAGUCGAGUGUGAAAGCCCCCGGCUCAACUGGGGAGGGUCACUCGAUACUGAUCGACUCGAAGGCAGGAGAGGGUAGUGGAAUUCCCGGUGUAGUGGUGAAAUGCGUAGAUAUCGGGAGGAACACCAGUGGCGAAGGCGACUACCUGGCCUGUUCUUGACGCUGAGGCGCGAAAGCUAGGGGAGCAAACGGG
rnacentral:rRNA from 1 species